GCGGGUUUAGCUCAGUUGGGAGAGCGUCAGACUGAAGAAUUACUUCAUUCUCAUCAACAGCGUUGAUAUCUGAAGGUCAUGUGUUCGAUCCACAUAAACCGCA